GUUCGAUUCUGAACUUGCGACAUUUCUUCUUGACUGGAUCAGAAUUCCAGUCCAGUCCUCCCCUAUGAAGGUGUAACGAUUACAUUGCUGUUGCCCAACAGAUUGGUGUGUCAACAGGUUGAAUUUCCUGCUGCAGAUCACCUCUUCAUUUCCUAUGGCUCACCAACAUGAAGCCUGACUCGUUAGCCCAACUUGUUGCUGUUGAAGACUGCUAAGGACUAUCCAUGUGCCCAGCUGCUUCCCUCCUGCCUCAUAUAGUCCAAAAGUUACAUUUCUAUUCAUGUUGUUGC